rnacentral:rRNA from 1 species
GUCGAACGAUGAAGCCCUUCGGGGUGGAUUAGUGGCGAACGGGUGAGUAACACGUGGGCAAUCUGCCCUUCACUCUGGGACAAGCCCUGGAAACGGGGUCUAAUACCGGAUGACACUCUGUCCCGCAUGGGACGGGGUUGAAAGCUCCGGCGGUGAAGGAUGAGCCCGCGGCCUAUCAGCUUGUUGGUGGGGUGAUGGCCUACCAAGGCGACGACGGGUAGCCGGCCUGAGAGGGCGACCGGCCACACUGGGACUGAGACACGGCCCAGACUCCUACGGGAGGCAGCAGUGGGGAAUAUUGCACAAUGGGCGAAAGCCUGAUGCAGCGACGCCGCGUGAGGGAUGACGGCCUUCGGGUUGUAAACCUCUUUCAGCAGGGAAGAAGCGAAAGUGACGGUACCUGCAGAAGAAGCGCCGGCUAACUACGUGCCAGCAGCCGCGGUAAUACGUAGGGCGCAAGCGUUGUCCGGAAUUAUUGGGCGUAAAGAGCUCGUAGGCGGCUUGUUGCGUCGGUUGUGAAAGCCCGGGGCUUAACCCCGGGUCUGCAGUCGAUACGGGCAGGCUAGAGUGUGGUAGGGGAGAUCGGAAUUCCUGGUGUAGCGGUGAAAUGCGCAGAUAUCAGGAGGAACACCGGUGGCGAAGGCGGAUCUCUGGGCCAUUACUGACGCUGAGGAGCGAAAGCGUGGGGAGCGAACAGGAUUAGAUACCCUGGUAGUCCACGCCGUAAACGUUGGGAACUAGGUGUUGGCGACAUUCCACGUCGUCGGUGCCGCAGCUAACGCAUUAAGUUCCCCGCCUGGGGAGUACGGCCGC